rnacentral:misc_RNA from 1 species
UUUAUUUAAAACCAUAUGGAAAAGACGAUAUGUAUGUGUAUUACAACAAAAAGGAGCAAGUUUUUGAGCUUGUGACUCGAAAGAAAGUUCUGAAGAAUGAGGGAUUUGGAUGGUAUAUUCUGUCUACACUAUGCCAGUCAUAAUACAUCUCUACUUUUGCAAAGGCAAUAUUGUUCAUUUCACGAAAAACGAUCUUGGACAAAACAUGACGUAUACUUCGAUUGUGUAAAUGCGUCUAAGAAUACUUCGAACCAGUUCACUGAAGUUUAUGUACAUCAGCAUUAAAAUAAAUUUCUACAUUC